UUCCAGUUUCCAUGAAAUUCUGGAUUGGGUUCUCUUUCAAGAUACCAAACAACUAACAUUGUGUAAAUCGUGAUUGCACCUGUAACCAGCCACAAUUCCCAGCUAAACGGCUUCGUAAACAUCCAUGCUGACUCUUCAGAUGCUGCUGGAACUAUCAUUGACAAUCCUGAUUCUGCAUAUGCUGAUUGGGAGCGUUGUGGAUUGUUCAGUUCAUCAGAAAUGGUUACACUCUCCAACCUUGGCGAAUUUCGACGGCGUACACCUUGUAAUACACUGCCACCAAAAGUUGCAGAUUUAUUUAAAGCCAUCAGAUUUCCAUUGUAUAAGCCAGUACCACUUCUUAAAACUCUCUUCAUAUCAUUAUUAUUAUUAUGAUCAUCAUCAGAUUCAGUGGUUACA